rnacentral:rRNA from 1 species
UUAUACUGCGAAACUGCGAAUGGCUCAUUAAAUCAGUUAUUGUUCCUUUGGCAGUCCCUUUUUACUUGGGUAACUGUGGCAAUUCUAGAGCUAAUACAUGCCAAAAGCCCCGACUUCGGUUGUGGGUGGACUUGUUAGAUAAAGAAUCAAUGCCCUUCGGGGCUAGUGGGUGAAUCAUGACAAUUACGCGGAUCGCAUGGCCUUGUGCCGGCGAUACCCCAUUCAAAUUUCUGCCCUAUCAACUUUAGAUGGUAGCGUCUUGGGCUACUAUGGUUUCGACGGGUAACGGGGAAUUAGGGUUCUAUUCCGGAGAGGGAGCCUGAGAAACGGCUACCACAUCCAAGGAGGGCAGCAGGCGCGCAAAUUACCCAAUCCCGACUCGGGGAGGUAGUGACAAUAAAUACUGAUACAGGGCUCUUUUGGGUCUUGUAAUUGGAAUGAGUACAAUUUAAAUCUCUUAACGAGGAACAAUUGGAGGGCAAGUCUGGUGCCAGCAGCCGCGGUAAUUCCAGCUCCAAUAGCGUAUAUUAAAGUUGUUGCAGUUAAAAAGCUCGUAGUUGAACCUUGGGCCUGGCUGGUCGGUCCGCCUCACCGCGUGUAUUGAUCCGGCCGGGUCCUUCCUUCUGGGGAACCGCAUGCCCUUCACUGGGUGUGUCGGGGAACUAGGACGUUUACUUUGAAAAAAUUAGAGUGUUCAAAGCAGGCCUAUGCUCGAAUACAUUAGCAUGGAAUAAUGAAAUAGGACGUGUGGUUCUAUUUUGUUGGUUUCUAGGACCGCCGUAAUGAUUAAUAGGGACAGUCGGGGGCAUCAGUAUUCAAUCGUUAGAGGUGAAAUUCUUGGAUCGAUUGAAGACUAACUACUGCGAAAGCAUUUGCCAAGGAUGUUUUCAUUAAUCAGUGAACGAAAGU